rnacentral:rRNA from 1 species
GACGAACGCUGGCGGCGUGCCUAAUACAUGCAAGUAGGACGCAGUUGCGAACGGGAGAGUAACGCGUAGGUAACUACCUAUUAGAGGGGGAUAAAUAUUGGAAACGAUAGCUAAUACCGCAUACUGGUAGAUGGACCUGCGUUGUAUUAGCUUGUAGGUAGGGGAAUGGCCUACCUAGGCAACGAUACAUAGCCGACGUGGGGAGGUGAUCGGCCCACCCGGGAACGGGGAACGGGCCAGACUCCUACGGGAGGGAGCAGUAGGGAAUCUUUGGAAAUGGGGGGAAACCUGACCGAGCAACGCCGCGUGAGUGAAGAAGGUUUUCGGGUCGGAAAGCUCUGUUGUUAAGGAAGCGGUACUUACCCAGAAAGGGACGGCUAACUACGUGCCAGCAGCCGCGGUAAUAC